AUGCUAGGUAGCAUUGAUUGUAUGCAUUGGACAUGGAAAAUUUGCCCGAAGGCAUGGCAGGGAAUGUAUUGCGGCAAGUCUCGUGAUGCAACAAUUGUGCUAGAGGCCGUAGCAUCCGAGGAUUUAUGGAUUUGGCAUUGCUUCUUUGGUAUGCCGGGCACUCUCAACGAUAUCAAUGUGUUGUUGCAACGGUCUCAUUUGUUUGCUAGGCUUGCUAGUGGUGAUGCUCUUGCUUGCAACUACACUAUCAAUGGGCAUGAAUACACAAAAAGGUACUAUCUUGCAGAUGGUAUAUACCCUCCUUGGUGCACAUUUGUCAAGAGCAUCAAAGAACCCAAAACUAAAAAACAAUGUGAGUUCGCAAAGAUGCAAGAGGCAGCCCGAAAAGACAUUGAAAGAGCAUUCGGGGUUUUGCAAUCUAGGUUUGCCAUUGUUCGUGGUCCUGCUCGUUUUGGGGACAAGCGGACCUUGAAGAACAUCACGACAUGUUGUGUUAUCCUUCACAACAUGAUUCUCGAAGAUGAGAGAGGCAUAAACUUGGAGCUCGCCUACGACAAUGUGGGCAGCCGUGUCAAACUAGCUAGAGACCCUAACCGCAUUAGAGUUUUUCUUCAAACAUACAAGGAGAUUGAAAAUGCAAACACCACUUUCAGCUUUAAGAGGAUCUCAUUGAGCACCAUUGGCAAAGGGCUGGGCAGUAACAAACUCAUUUUUCCAUUCAUUUGUAUUUGUAUUCGGGACAAGUUUUGUAUUGCAUAUUUAUAUUUGUAUUCGGUGAUUUGA
rnacentral:rRNA from 1 species